rnacentral:tRNA from 1 species
GCCUGGGUGGCUCAGUCGGUUGAGCAUCUGACUUCAGCUCAGAUCAUGGUCUCGCAGUUCAUGAGUUCGAACCCCGCAUCGGGCU